rnacentral:rRNA from 1 species
UCAAGUUAUUAAGGGUGCAGGGCGAAUGCCUUGGCACUAGGAGCCGAUGAAGGACGUGAUAAGCUGCGAUAAGCUUCGGGGAGUUGCACGUAAACUUUGAUCCGAAGAUUUCCGAAUGAGGAAACUCACUUAGAGUAAUGUCUAAGUAUCGUAUGAUGAAUACAUAGUCAUGCGAGGGGAACCCGGAGAACUGAAACAUCUAAGUACCCGGAGGAAGAGAAAGAAAUUCGAUUCCGUAAGUAGCGGCGAGCGAACGCGGAACAGGCCAAACCAGUGAAGUUUUCUUCGCUGGGGUUGCGGACAUAUCAUAACGAAGAGGUAUCGUAGAAGAAGAGAGUUGGAAAGCUCCGCCAUAGAUGGUAACAGCCCAGUAUUUUAAACGAGAAGACUUUAGAUAUGAUCCAGAGUACCACGGGACACGUGAAACCCUGUGGGAAGCAGGAGGGACCAUCCUCCAAGCCUAAAUACUACCUAGUGACCGAUAGCGUAUAGUACCGUGAGGGAAAGGUGAAAAGAACCCCGGGAGGGGAGUGAAAGAGAACCUGAAACCCUGCACUUACAAGCUGUAGGAGCACAUUAUUUGUGUGACUGCGUACUUUUUGUAGAACGGGCCAACGAGUUACGUUGUGUAGCAAGGUUAAGCACUUAAGGUGUGGAGCCGUAGCGAAAGCGAGUCUUAAAUGGGCGUCCAGUUACCCGACGUAGACCCGAAACCAGGCGACCUAUCCAUGAGCAGGUUGAAGCGAAAGUAAAAUUUCGUGGAGGACCGAACCCACGUACGUUGAAAAGUGCGGGGAUGACUUGUGGAUAGCGGUGAAAUUCCAAUCGAGCCUGGAGAUAGCUGGUUCUCCCCGAAAUAGCUUUAGGGCUAGCCUCAAGCUUAGAGAAACGGAGGUAGAGCACUGAAUGUCCUAGGGGGUAUUGCACUUACCGAAGACUAUCAAACUCCGAAUGCCGUAUUCUUUUGCUUGGGAGUCAGACUAUGGGUGAUAAGAUUCAUAGUCAAGAGGGCAACAGCCCAGAUCGUCAGCUAAGGUCCCUAAAUGUAAGUUAAGUGGUAAAGGAUGUGGAAUUGCACAGACAACCAGGAUGUUGGCUUAGAAGCAGCCACUCAUUUAAAGAGUGCGUAAUAGCUCACUGGUCGAGUGAUUCUGCGCCGAAAAUUUCCGGGGCUAAAACUUACUACCGAAGCUACGGCAUCAUUAUGAUGGGUAGGGGAGCUUUCUAUGCGGCUUGAAGCAUGACCGUAAGGACAUGUGGACUGCAUAGAAGUGAGAAUGUUGGCAUGAGUAGCGAGAUGUGGGUGAGAAUCCCACAGGCCGUAAACCCAAGGUUUCCAGGGGAAGGUUCGUCCGCCCUGGGUUAGUCAGGACCUAAGCCGAGGCCGAAAGGCGUAGGUGAUGGACAACAGGUUGAUAUUCCUGUACCACCAAUAACCGUUUGAGAAAUGGGAUGACACAGUAGGAUAAGCUAACCGCACUGUUGGUUAUGUGCGGGCAAGUAUUGAGGCAGUUCCGAUAGGCAAAUCCGUCGGAAUAAUGCUGGGGUACGAUGCGGAGCGAAAUUUAGUAGCGAAGUAGCUGAUUUCACACUGUCGAGAAAAGUCUCUAUCGAGGUUAAAGGUGCCUGUACCGCAAACCGACACAGGUGGGUGAGGAGAGUAUCCUAAGGCCAGCGAGAGAACUGUUGUUAAGGAACUCGGCAAAAUGACCCCGUAACUUAGGGAGAAGGGGUGCCUUCGAAAGAAGGCCGCAGAGAAUAGGCCCAAGCGACUGUUUACCAAAAACAUAGGUUUCUGCUAAGUCGCAAGACGAUGUAUAGGAGCUGACGCCUGCCCGGUGCUGGAAGGUUAAGGGGAUCUGUUAGAGCAAUCGAAGCAGUGAACUUAAGCCCCAGUAAACGGCGGCCGUAACUAUAACGGUCCUAAGGUAGCGAAAUUCCUUGUCGGGU